AUUUGGUGAGAAGAAACUCUAUGCUUGGAUUCUCGGAGAAGGGAAAAGAGAGGGUUUGUGCUGGCUCAGAAAAUGGCAUGAAAAUUGCACUUUUGACUAUUUGCUACAAUGGAAUGGUUGCAUCUUUCCAUGUCUCUAGUGACAAGGCGAAAGAUAUUCUAAAGUUUGCAAAAAUGUCAAAAAUUAAGAAUGACUUUUCAUCAAACUAUG